rnacentral:tRNA from 1 species
UAACCCGAUAGUGUAAUAGGUAACACAACAGAUUUUGAUUCUGUUAUUCCAGGUUCAAGUCCUGGUCGGGUUGA